rnacentral:rRNA from 1 species
UACGGGGGGGGCAAGCGUUGUUCGGAAUUACUGGGCGUAAAGGGCUCGUAGGCGGCCCACUAAGUCAGACGUGAAAUCCCUCGGCUUAACCGGGGAACUGCGUCUGAUACUGGAGGGCUUGAGUUUGGGAGAGGGAUGCGGAAUUCCAGGUGUAGCGGUGAAAUGCGUAGAUAUCUGGAGGAACACCGGUGGCGAAGGCGGCUCUCUGGGACGGUACUGACGCUGAGACGCGAAAGCGUGGGGAGCGAACAGG